UAUCUUUACUCCUACGGGAGGCAGCAGUGGGGAAUAUUGCACAAUGGGCGCAAGCCUGAUGCAGCGACGCCGCGUGGGGGAUGACGGCCUUCGGGUUGUAAACUCCUUUCAAUCAUGACGAAGCUGGUCUUUGUGGGUCAGUGACGGUAGUGGUAGAAGAAGCACCGGCUAACUACGUGCCAGCAGCCGCGGUAAUCAGUUUA
rnacentral:rRNA from 1 species